GAUGAAGAACGCAGCGAAAUGCGAUAAGUAAUGUGAAUUGCAGAAUUCCGUGAAUCAUCGAGUCUUUGAACGCACAUUGCGCCCCCUGGUAUUCCGGGGGGCAUGCCUGUCCGAGCGUCAUUGCUGCCCUCAAGCACGGCUUGUGUGUUGGGCCCCGUCCUCCGAUCCCGGGGGACGGGCCCGAAAGGCAGCGGCGGCACCGCGUCCGGUCCUCGAGCGUAUGGGGCUUUGUCACCCGCUCUGUAGGCCCGGCCGGCGCUUGCCGAUCAACCCAAAUUUUUUAUCCAGGUUGACCUCGGAUCAGGUAGGGAUACCCGCUGAACUUAAGCAUAUCAAUAAGCGGAGGA
rnacentral:misc_RNA from 1 species